rnacentral:rRNA from 1 species
AUUGAACGCUGGCGGUAGGCCUAACACAUGCAAGUCGAACGGCAGCACAGUGAAACCUUGCGCUUACCGGACGAGUGUCGCGGGGGGGUGAGAUGUAUGUCAGACUCUCCUUUUUCGGGGGGGAAAUCGUGGGAACGGUUACGAUAAUACCGCAACGGCCCUACGGCAGAAAGCAGGGGCUCUUCGGCCCUUGCCAGCUGGAAUGCGCCGAUGUCGGAUUAGCUAGUUGGUGGGGUAAAGGCCCACCAAGGCGACGAUCCGUAGCUGGUCUGAGAGGAUGAUCAGCCACACUGGAACUGAGACACGGUCCAGACUCCUACGGGAGGCAGCAGUGGGGAAUAUUGGACAAUGGGCGCAAGCCUGAUGCAGCCAUACCGCGUGUAUGAAGAAGGCCUUCGGGUUGUAAAGUCCUUUCGUUGGGGAGGAAGAGCAGCAGGUUAAUACCCCGCUGUUUUGACGUUACCCACAGAAUAAGCACCGGCUAACUUCGUG